rnacentral:lncRNA from 1 species
GCACUUUAUCCUGUGGCUCCGGGAGAAGACCCUUCCCCUCCAAUCCUGGCCCCAUCCCCACCAGUCUCACCUGUGGCCCCAUUUCUCCCAUCUCUCCUUUCUGACCGGGAUACCCAGGGAGACCCUUGGAGGAAAGAGAUGGGGAAAUGGAAUUAGAGGGAGGUUGCCCUUCUCCACUGAUGUGUCCCCCUCCUCUGUACAGUCUCCUUACUCACCACAGGGCCUGGGCGCCCAGUGAGCCCCACCGGGCCAGGGGGACCUUUCAUAGACAGCUGGAAAGAUGGGGGAAACAGAUCCUCAGGUCUCCCACAAAACCCCAACACCCUCCAAAAGAGCAUCUUCAUGAGACAAAUAUCCACCUGCCCCCGACUAGCCUCCAUUAUCCCCAUCUCUGUCACUCCCUCAAUGUCCUCCCAUUACCCCCCCUUGGUCCCCUGAUUAUCUUCCACUCACCUGAGUCUGUUGCAGGACUGCCUGCGCCUGGGCUUGCUGGAAGGAGACUGGGGGUCCUUUGAGGGAGCUGCUUGCAAACUGGAACUAGGGGGCAGCUAGUCAUGAGGGGGGCCCAAGGAGAGGCCCCUCCUGGGUCAGGACUACACCCCCCAAGGAUGUGCUACCCUAUCCCCCUCUUACCGGCAUCAUGAUCACAGUGCCUGGUAGACCCCGGAUGCCAUCGAUGCCAGGGAUUCCGGGGAGGCCAGCAGGACCCUGAGAGAGGGAGAGACACAGAGGGGGAUGGAGGCAGAGAGAUAGACAGAGAUGAGAGAUAGAGAUAGAGGGGGAGAGGGGAGAGACAGAGACAUAGGGAGAAAGACAGAGAUGAAGGACACUCAGGGAUAGAGACAGAUGGAAGGAGAAAAGCAGGGGAUACACCCCCAGAGACAGGACAUGGGCCAGAGUGACAAUUCACAGAUGGAAAGAGAGAUGAGCAAGUGGGGCCAG